AACGAACGCUGGCGGCGUGCCUAACACAUGCAAGUCGUACGAGAAAUUCCGGCUUCGGCCGGGAGAGUAAAGUGGCGCACGGGUGAGUAACGCGUGGGUAACCUACCCGCAAAUCGGGAAUAACCACUCGAAAGGGUGGCUAAUACCUGAUAAUGUCUGCAAGUCUCUGGACAUGCAGACCAAAGGUGGCCUCUACAUGUAAGCUAUCAUUUGGGGAUGGGCCCGGGUACCAUUAGCUUGUUGGUAGGGUAAAGGCCUACCAAGGCUGUGAUGGUUAGCUGGUCUGAGAGGAUGAUCAGCCACACUGGAACUGGAACACGGUCCAGACUCCUACGGGAGGCAGCAGUGAGGAAUCUUGCGCAAUGGGGGGAAACCCUGACGCAGCAACGCCGCGUGAGUGAAGAAGGCUUUCGGGUUGUAAAGCUCUGUCAAGUGGGAAGAACUACUUGGUGCUAAUAUCGCCGAGGACUGACGGUACCACUAAAGGAAGCACCGGCUGACUCCGUGCCAGCCGCCGCGGUAA
rnacentral:rRNA from 1 species